rnacentral:lncRNA from 1 species
UUACUCAAAUUUUUUGAUAAAAGUUACUGGCGAUCCCACUGGCAUCCUCGGCAUGCUACAGGCACUCAUCGACAUCUCAUCUAUCUUUUUAUAAUCCAUACUCUAGGUACUCAGGAGUGAAGCUCGGAUUUCUGAAUCCCUGCAUACAUGAUCUUGAUGCGCCCACUUCAACCCAACUAAGAGUGAGCAUCCUCAAGUGAAAACACAUGAACUCAUACGCGCCACAGAUAAACACCAAAACAAAGGAGCACAGGAAGGCAAAAUUGAUAAAAUAGAGCAAGAAUAGGUGAAAUGAAAAUUGAUUAUGCAAAGCCUGAUCUCACAAAUAAUCAACAGGCUUAUUAGCGAGUGGGAGAGAGAAGAGAGUUGAAUUGAAAUGAUAUGAAAAUGACCUUCGGAAAUCACAGAAGAAAAAAUGGACCAUAUUCAUAUCGUUUCUUAUAACACAAGCACAUAAAAACAGAGGUAUAUACAAUCAUUGCAAGUCCCAGUGGAUGCUCAGAAAUCAGCAGAGAAAAGGCCAUAUGACAUCCACACACCAAUAGCUAAAUGAUACCUAACAAUUUACAGAAGCGAAUAAAUUGCAAAGGAUUAAUAGAGAUAGAUAAGAAACCUUCGUGGAAAUACCUCUCUUCUUCCUCUGUUUUCUCUCAGUUUCUCUUCCUCUCUGAAAUAUCCUCUCCUUGAAGCUCAAGACUCUCUGAAAACCGGCAAGAAAACUAUCCCCUCUCUCUCUGCCAGUCCGGCUUGCUUUUCAAGCAAUGCCCUAAAAAAUAUCUCUCUCUAAGCUCUCCAAAAACUCACCUCU